GUGGUCAGCCUACCCCUUCCAUUUAGCAUGGCCCUUUGAGUGUUUGAAAGGCCCAAUAGGAGGAUAUAGAGAGACCGAAGAGAGGCAGAGAUCAUGAAGAAGCAGCCCUGGGAAUGAAUACUGCUUGGAGAAGGAAUCCUGUUACUGUACCUUCAAGAGCCUUGUAGUGGGGGUGGAGCAAGGUUCUCUCACUCAACCAAUUAGGAAGUUGUUGGGAGAAGAGGGCUAGCACAAAGGCUGCCUACUUCUUCACACUAGGGUAGCCACUAACAGGAGAAGGCUGGCCUGCUGAAUGCAAGAGAUUGGAAGGCUAAUUGGGAAGGGUAUACAGCUGAAGGGAUCUUGCAGCUGAUUAACCCAAGGUUUGAGACACAAACUUCAGCUCAAAGAGAGGGAACUUGUACUUGAAGAAUAAGACUGACUGACCUAAAGCAAGAGAUCUGAAACAAUUGCUAGCACAACAAUCCAGCUGCUGCAGGGAAGAGCUGAGACUGGCUUUUAGGAAGUGCCUCUGUAGCUGGCCCCAGGAGAAGCCAUGAGGAACCAUAAAAGUUCAGGUUCAUGUCAGACAUGUGGGGAAAGGGAGCUGGAUCUUGCCUUGAAUGAUGCUUUCUCCAAGAUGAUCAAUAUCACCUAGAAGGAGUCUGAGCUAAUCUGUGAUGGCACAUCAAAUAGAACCCAGCAGUAGUGUGAACAGUCUGCUGUAUGCUUGGACUAUAGAAAUUAUACAUGCAGGCAGAUGGUUCUCCUGAACUUACAGAAGCAUUGAUGUUCCUUGUCUAAACUCUCCCCUCCCUGAAACCGUACCAUUCAUUGAUGGUCACGUCACAGCUCAGCUAGGCUGGAUAUUAUGCUGGAGGAA